AUGAGUCGACCUGAUGGGAUCAACAUCCCCGACGGCAAGUUCUACCUUGGAGAUGCUGGCUAUGAAUGCCGGCCGGGUAUUCUUCCACCCUUCAAGAAAACAAGGUACCAUCUCAACGAGUUCUCUGGUAGGAACUUUCCUAAGACUGCACAUGAGCUGUUUAAUCUCAAACACUCCAGCCUUAGAGUAACUGUUGAGAGGGCAUUUGGAGCUCUGAAGAAUAGGUUUAAGAUCCUGGAUCAGAAGCCAUUCCACCCAUACUCCACUCAAGUUAAGCUAGUUCUUGCUUGUUGCACUCUGCAUAACUGGAUCCUCCAGUGGGGCUUUGAUGAACACGUGCCUGAGGAGGAAGAGGUCGAGCCUGACGAUGUUGUUAGCUCUGGCCAUGGUGUGGAGGCAUUUGACAAUGACGCUUGGAAGGACAAAAGGUUGGAGUGGGCAAUGGCA
rnacentral:rRNA from 1 species